rnacentral:tRNA from 1 species
GCAUCGGUGGUUCAGCGGUAGAAUGCUCGCCUGCCACGCGGGCGACCCGGGUUCGAUUCCCGGCCGAUGCA